GGUAGACCAGGCUCAUAGUAAGGCAGGAGGCUUUUCUGCUGUCCUCAUCCCGCCUUAGUCUUAGGCAUGUCUUGGCUGUUUCUUGCUCCCUCUUCCACCAGAGGUAGUCAAUUUCUGGUUGGUAUCGCUAAAGGAUCCUGGGCCCUGGAUGGCUUCUUACCCCUCCCACAGGGAUAAAAGGAUGUGUGUUCUACUUCCCCCAGCCACAGUGCACUUUUACAUGUUCCUGGGGGUGGAUGGUGUAAUGCCCAACCUCCCAGUGGAUUCUCAAAUUUACUUCAUUGGAGAGAAGAACCUGAGGAAGUGGACGAGGCUCCGUGCCUUUCUCCAGCAGCUGAAGGUCCCCUCCUGCAGACCUGAACCACCAAGUUGGGCUACCUCUUAGGUCUUCUGUGCAUCUGGUGGGAGCCUGGAGAAAGAUGUUGAACUCCCUUUGCAUCUGGGGUCCCCAGCUACUCCAGAUGGACACAUUAGCCCCCUCUUGGCCUUUAGCAAUUCAUUAAAAGGCUUACCUAAUUUUAUUUUAUUUUACACAGUUGUUUCAUGGUCAUAUCUUCCUACAGUGCUCUGCCACAGGUGAAACUGUGUGUCCUGUCUCUCCUUACAGGGGGAGCCACUUUUUCUUUUCUCUUUUUGAGACAGCGUGUUGCUCUGUCACCCAGACUGCAGUCCCGUGGC
rnacentral:lncRNA from 1 species